CGGGACGGGCAGCCGCGGGAUUGGGCUGAAAAGCCCUUUCAUGAGGAAAGUCCGGGCUCCACAGGGCAAGAAUAACGGGUAACGCCCGCCGAAGGCGACUUCAGGAAAAGUGCAACAGAGAUAUACCGCCUUGCGGAAUUUUCGCAAGGUAAGGGUGGAAAGGCGAGGUAAGAGCUCACCCGCUGCAUGGGAACAUCGCAGCGCUGUAAACUCUAUUCGGAGCAACACCGUGGAGGAGGCAAGGUCGGCCCGACCGUCUCCGAGGAGGUGGCUGGAACGCGGCGGCAACGCCGCGUCUAGAUAGAUGGCUGUCGAUUACAGAACCCGGCUUAUAGUCCCGAUC
rnacentral:RNase_P_RNA from 1 species